UUAUAAACUCGUUAGGUGAGGCUCCUGGGUGGAUAUAAGCUGCUGCCCAAAAACGUCGAGAGACGCCAAUGGGUAUAACAGACAGUGUCGGCUUAAGGCCUGUCUAAUGCAGCUGGUCCUCUUCUACCUUAUUAGAUAUUAAAUUUCGGAUCUACGUCACCCAGUGCCAAAGCUAAGACGAGGAGUGCGUAA
rnacentral:sRNA from 23 species